rnacentral:rRNA from 1 species
GAUGAACGCUGGCGGCGUGCCUAAUACAUGCAAGUCGAGCGAACGGACGAUAAGCUUGCUUCUCUGAUGUUAGCGGCAGACGUGUGUGUAACACGUGUAUAACCUACCUAUAAGACUGGGAUAACUUCGGGAAACCGGCGCUAAUACCGUAUAAUAUUUUGAACCGCAGUGUUCAAAAGUGAAAUACGGUCUUGCGGUCACUUAUAGAGGGAUUCGGGCUGCAUUAGCUAGUUGGUAAGUUAACGGCCUACCAAGGCAACGAUGCAUAAACGACCUGAGAGGCUGGUCGGCCACCUUAGAACGGGACCGGGGUCCUUGGUACUGCGGUACGGAGCAGUAGCGUAUCGUACGCAAUGGUGGAAAGCCUUGCGGAGCAACGCCACGUGAGUGAUGAAGGUGUUCGGUGCGUAAAACUCUGUUAUUAGUGAAGAACAUAUGUGUAAGUAACUGUGGACAUCGUGACGGUACCUAAUAAGAAAGCCCCGGCUAACUACGUG